rnacentral:lncRNA from 1 species
CUUGGACUUCGUAAAGAUCAUCACCAUCCUGGUCACGGCCACAGCGUCCAGCGUGGGGGCAGCGGGCAUCCCUGCUGGAGGUGUCCUCACUCUGGCCAUCAUCCUCGAAGCAGUCAACCUCCCGGUCGACCAUAUCUCCUUGAUCCUGGCUGUGGACUGGCUACGACCGGUCCUGUACCGUCCUCAAUGUAGAAGGUGACGCUCUGGGGGCAGGACUCCUCCAAAAUUACGUGGACCGUACGGAGUCGAGAAGCACAGAGCCUGAGUUGAUACAAGUGAAGAGUGAGCUGCCCCUGGAUCCGCUGCCAGUCCCCACUGAGGAAGGAAACCCCCUCCUCAAACACUAUCGGGGGCCCGCAGGGGAUGCCACGGUCGCCUCUGAGAAGGAAUCAGUCAUGUAAACCCCGGGAGGGACCUUCCCUGCCCUGCUGGGGGUGCUCUUUGGACACUGGAUUAUGAGGAAUGGAUAAAUGGAUGAGCUAGGGCUCUGGGGGUCUGCCUGCACACUCUGGGGAGCCAGGGGCCCCAGCACCCUCCAGGACAGGAGAUCUGGGAUGCCUGGCUGCUGGAGUACAUGUGUUCACAAGGGUUACUCCUCAAAACCCCCAGUUCUCACUCAUGUCCCCAACUCAAGGCUAGAAAACAGCAAGAUGGAGAAAUAAUGUUCUGCUGCGUCCCCACCGUGACCUGCCUGGCCUCCCCUGUCUCAGGGAGCAGGUCACAGGUCACCAUGGGGAAUUCUAGCCCCCACUGGGGGGAUGUUACAACACCAUGCUGGUUAUUUUGGCGGCUGUAGUUGUGGGGGGAUGUGUGUGUGCACGUGUGUGUGUGUGUGUGUGUGUGUGUGUGUGUGUGUGUUCUGUGACCUCCUGUCCCCAUGGUACGUCCCACCCUGUCCCCAGAUCCCCUAUUCCCUCCACAAUAACAGAAACACUCCCAGGGACUCUGGGGAGAGGCUGAGGACAAAUACCUGCUGUCACUCCAGAGGACAUUUUUUUUAGCAAUAAAAUUGAGUGUCAACUAU